rnacentral:misc_RNA from 1 species
GUCAUAUAAAACCAGUGUCAGAAUUGGAAAAGGUUUUCAAGCAGAUGUUCCAGACUGGUCAGGUCCAAUUACUAAUGAUGAAGAUGCAUUUGGUGAGGCUUUGGAACUGGAUCCAUCAGAUUUUGUUAGUAUGACUGAUUUGAAGUCAAACAAGCCAUCUAAACUUGGCGCUAUUGGUAACUGGCUUCAGUGUAAAGAGGUUAUAGAUGGUGCAGGAGAAAGUACUAUAUGUGGAAAGUGGCGCAGGGCUCCUUUGUUUGAUGUCCAAACUGAUGACUGGGAAUGCUUCUGUUCCUUUCUUUGGGACCCUAUUCAUGCUGAUUGUGCUGUACCCCAGGAGCUGGACACAGAUCAAAUUCUGCAGCAACUAAAGUAUAUUCAGAUGCUGAGACCACAGUUAGACGCUAAAAGGUGAAAAUUGAACAACACCAAGAAAGAAGAUGAUUCAAUGGACAGUGGAGAAGAUAUGAGAAAUAUAAGAACUCAAAAACAUGCUCAGUGAUCAGCUUGGCUUGUACAUUCAUUCAUAAAAAGCAAAAAUCAAAAGCCAUGAAUUUUGGAGUUACCACGGCUGUAAGGAAAUUAUUCUGGACAGGAGAAUAAUAAUUUAGUAUGAUAAUAUUUAGCCAA